GCCUCUGUGAUCAAAGCUAUGGCUAUGACCAAGGGACAAGGAGUGUUUCCUCUUGGAAAGCUCACAGCUUGAAGAGGGAUGGAAGCCUGUAAUCUCAGUUUUGGGUUCUGACCAAGUCCAGAUAGAGAAGUUGGGAGGACCCUGGGCAUCGGGGAAUAUGAACUGGAGACAGUCACUGCAGCAAGCAAAAUACAUAAAGUGGCACUAUUGAUUCAUCUUUUAUUUCUCUGUGUUUUAGCUAUCUCUUCUGAAAAGUGUGAGGGGGAGCGGCCCAUGCUUUCUUUAGUUUAUGUAGACAAACCCAAAAUAUACCCUACAUGGUGAUAUUUGAUUCAUUCCUUAAUGCUUUCUCAUGCUCUAGGAUAUAAGGCUGCUAUUGAAUUUGGGGCCUGUGUCUUAUUUAUGUAUAUCCCUAGCAUUACACAUCGCUAAGCAUAAAAAGAUACAAAAAAGUUUGUUAAAUGCUACAAACAAAGGUAUAGCUUUUUGAGGACAACAUAUGUUGGAUAACAUGUGGAUGUUGUGGUUAUAAAGGAAAUUAUUUUACCUUUAUCCCCAGGGCACUGUGUCUUUCUUCCACCUGCUGACAGUGAAGAUUCUGGAGUUCCACAUUUGAUUGUUUUCAUCUUUCAAAGAUAUGGCGCUUCAGGGAGUCUUCUCCCUUGCUGAGGAACUGAGACCUGGAGUAGCUCUGAGAUGAAAUAUGAUUGCAUUCUAAACUAAGGAGGCAAAGUAACAAAGGCACGCAGGACUCACAGGCCCUGGAUGAAGGCUGGCAGCUUCAGACAGAACCAGCACGUCUGAGGGACAACCAAGAGGUGCCUUUGGCUGUGGACUUCAGGAUAUGAAUCAGAGAGAAAGAACUGAAGACUUGUCCCAGGAAGAAAAGGGAGGACUGGCAGCAGAUUUUUCACUGGUUUGUCUUUGGAAAAGAAUGAGAAGAGCUGGUAAACUCUCCUUCCUCACUUCUGCUCCUUGGGUGAGUGUAAUUUAUAUUUCUAACCAUUUUGCAAAUGUCAUUAAAGAGUAUUUCCCAAGUUUCUGUUGAGGAAGAGCCUUGUUUGAUCUUUGCAAUGCUGGCACUCUUUUAGAAUUAACCAUGGAAAAAUUUGAUGACACUUCCAUGCUUCUUGUAAAAUUUAUCUUUGGGGUAAUUUUACAGUGUGUGUUUUCCCCUUGAAUGUUUUAAAGAUUUGGAUUUCCGUCUCUUUGCAGAACAUUGUACCAGCUGUGUCUCAUUUGCUUUGCAAGGGCAUUUGAAGAAAUUGCUAUUUUGGAAACUGCUUAACGUAUGAGAUAAUUGUUUUAAGCACUUUGCAGGUUGCAUAGUGCUUUCCCAUUAUUUUAUCCAUUCAUUUUUCCUAGACACUUAGGAAAUACUAUUUACAUUUUUCAGAAAGGAAAAUAGAGGUACUGAAGAAAGAACAGAAAGCA
rnacentral:lncRNA from 1 species